CCCCAGCUUUGUCCUCCAGUGGGGCUGCUGUACAGACGGAGGAAACCCCACCUGAAGGGCUGGGGGCGGUACAGCUGCGCUGAAGGAGCAGCCGGUGGCCCCACGUUCUGCUGCUCCUCUUUCCGGUACACCGUACCCACCAUAACUAUCUUGCCGGUACAGCGUACCAGACGGGGCCGCCCUGAUUGCUCGGCUGAAAGAUACUGAUGUCCUUUGUAAAGCCCUUUGAGAGUUAUUGCUGAAAAGUGCUCUAUAACAGCAUGGUGAUAUUAAUUAUUAUCCAUACCUUUGUUGCUCCUGAUUAAAUUACUUCAAAGCACUCUGCAAGGGAUUACACCUUAAAUCUCUGUGGACACUGAAGAUAGGCAACCGCCUAACUGUGAUACAACAAAGAGAUUUAAUAAAUUAACACCGGUUGAUUCUGCUGGCCAAAUAUAUUGUGUGAAUUGAAGAACUAAGCCAUAUAUAUAAGGCACUCACUUGGACCAGUUUACAUUUUGUGGGUGAAGAAUUUGUCUCAUCUUCUAUCCCUAGAAACAACUCUGGCAUAAUAAGGUGGAAAAUCUCCCAAGUGAGUGGAAGUACAAUCAGCACCUGGGGGUUGAUCCCCUCACUCCAUGGGAAAGGUCACCAAGUAUACAAGGAACAGAGGACAAUUUGGACUUUUCCUCCACCUCAGAUGUCACAGCAGCUGCUUUGUGGCUGUUCUGUCCUCUAAAGGAACACACUGUCUCCGCAAGAUGAGAGAGGGGGAGAAAGAGACAUCUUACGCCAUUAUAAUUACUUGGGCAAAAAUAAACACACAUAUGGUGUGACAUUUUCUUAAUGCUCAGAUCUUAUUUAGUAGAUGUAUUAAUUAAAAUAAAAAAAGAACCCAACAACCCAUGAGUCAUGAGGACAUGAUGAGCUAUCUUGUGGAAAUG